UACAGAGGGGGCAAGCGUUGUUCGGAAUUACUGGGCGUAAAGGGCGCGUAGGCGGCCUCUUAAGUCGAACGUGAAAUCCCCGGGCUCAACCCGGGAACUGCGUCCGAUACUGGGGGGCUUGAAUCCGGGAGAGGGAUGUGGAAUUCCAGGUGUAGCGGUGAAAUGCGUAGAGAUCGGAAGGAACGUCAAUGGCGAAGGCAGCCACCUGGCAUCAUACUGACGCUGAGGCACGAGAGCGUGGGGAGCGAACAGG
rnacentral:rRNA from 1 species